UUGUUCGAAUCAUGUAGUUGUUGUCGAGGAGGAUUCGAUUAUAAUCUUAGAAUUGUUUCUCUCGGUUUUUUUCUGUAAUUCGAUUCAAUCUAAGGAGAUGCUGUAAAAUUCGUUCUCAGUUAACCCUUAAAAGCUAAAAAAAAAAACAAAAAUCGAUCCGAUUCAUUCCCAUCCCUGAAAUUCAUUCUCCGAUCUUCAUCAACAAGUUCUAAUCAAGAGAUAACCAGGACCAUCAAUUGAAAGCCUGAACCAUUACCAGUUUGGUUCCACUGGGUCGCUUCCAUAUAUUCGAAUGAUGGUUGUGCUGAUAGUAUUUGGUUCGAAUUGGUGUGGCAGUUGGAACUCAGGGUGAUGGCUGAAUUAGGUUGAGUUUCAAGACAUAAAUGAAAGGGGUUUUGUGUUGUUAAAAUGAUGGUUUACUGUGAAUUGAGUUUGCAGGGAAUUGGGUGAGUUUGGAAGCUGUAGAAGUCUAAAAGCUACAGCAAGAUGAGAAUGGCACACAACAUAUUCGAGUAAAGGCCUGAAUGAGUCUCUUCACCACAUCAAGUUCCAGUCGAGUCUGUUUGCCAGAGGUUGUGAUCAUGUUCAGUUGAGAAGACAAGGAGACGAGAUGGAAGUGGUCUGUUGGGGUCAAGUUCUUGAGCUGAUUUUCAGCUGUAAAAGGUGAUGCUGCAACUGUUCGUGUUGAUAGCAACAAAGUGUUGUUUCCAAGGGACCAAGUGCAGUUUGAAAGACAAGCCAGAAGACUGGAUUUUGGUCAAGUUUUUAUGUAAUCAGUUAGGCAAAGGAACUGGUGCUUUUCCAUGGUUCAAGGGUUGCGUUUGGCAGUUAAGAAGCACGCACAACUGGUGGUACGAACCAGUGGAGUUCUGGUUUCUGUUAGACUAAGAAUUUGAGCUAAUCAGAUGGGGGAUUGAUGUGUGAUGCUGUCCAGUGUGGGGCUGUGAAGAAAUUGAAUGUCUAGAAAGUAGAUAAACUGUUGAUCGAAUACAUAGGAGUGAGUUCGGCAACAGGUACCUCGAGAAGCUUAUCAGGUUAUGAUCCAGCGUGAAGAAAAACUUAUGAUGAGAAUGUGAAGUUUUGUAUACAUAGGUGGAAGACCAACUGGUUAUACGCUGUGAUGGUGCGUCAAUUGACAAUCCAGGGCUAGCAGGAGCAGGUUGUGGACAUUGCAACUCCUGCAAUGAAUAUAUUUAGGCGCAUAUUAUUUUCGGCUCACUUAUAACCUUUGAUGUCGUUCAUAGAUGUAAUUGGGGAUUAGUGGUCAGUUAAUGUUAAUGUUGAGGGGAUGAAGAUGGCAGUUAGUAACCACAAAUCUGGGGCUGUUCUGGGUUUGUUGUGCUUAAACGUUUGUGAAGAUUUGGAGCUUCUGUUGCAACGAAAAGAAGUACGGUUGCAGGGACAUCUAAUCGUGGGUACAAUACAGGGAAUGAGUCUCCUGUGCUUUAGGAUGCAAAGAGGUGUCUCUUCAUCACCAGCCGCAUUUUCUUUGUUGUGCUAUUGUUGAUCGUAAGUAUUUUGAAUUGUUGUGAGAGAUUGAAACUAAUGUCGGGUAAGCUUUUAUACUUCUUAAUUCGAGUUUUUGUUCUACUGGAGACUCUAUCUCUUGCAGGGUAUAAGAAUGAAACCCAAAUAAAAUAAGCGUAUGGGUGAUGGCAAUGACCAGCAAGGUGAUAUUUGCGCUUUUUUUUCCUGCUCCUUGCAACUGUGCAUAUUGUAUAUUUUGUACUGUUGAUAAAACAAGCGUAUGGGGUGAUGGUAUGGGUGACGCGAAUGACCAGCAAGGUACAUAAACAUCUUAGAAUGGUAUGGAUUUUCCCCCUUCCAACGUUAGACCAACUUCCAGCUAAUAUGCUGAUGGAACUUGAGAGCUUUUUUAUGUUGUUUUUGAUAUAAGCUUUAGGAGAAGAGGCAUGCAUUGUAUAAUUCAUCUUGAGUAUUCAUUCAUACUGCCUGUUCCUAGAAAAGAUUAUCGCAUUUUUCUGUAGUCGUUACUCUUCAAUUAAUCUGCAUCUUUGCAAUUUUCAGUUGCCACUGCUCUUUUUUUGGUCGCACCGCCUGAGUAUUCGGUACUUUCUUUUUUUAAUGUUGUGAUUGUUGGUAAUAAGGAUGCCAAGCGUUGGUGAAAAUAUUGGAAAAUGAUUCCAUUGUAUCAUUUGAUUGACUAUCUAGAGACACUUUCCUAUUUGGUUACAGGUGAAACAUUACAAGAUGAGAGGUGCCAAUGGAGGUUUCCUAUUCAAGCUAAUACCCGUGAGUUCUUAGGAAAACAAAUUGGAUUGUUUUUGCCUAUCGAAUUUCAAUAUGGACGCAAGCAUGUUAGUCUUUCAUCAUAAACAUCGUAUCUGGGUACUUUUUUGUUUUUCCUCAAACUAUUUUGAUCUUUAGGCUACUGCACGCGUAAAUGAUCAUGCACAAGUUAUGAGAAGAAAAACUUCAUAUUUUAUAUACAAUCGAAAUAGGAAGAGACAUUCCUGACAACGUUUUAUUUUAGGAUGAUCAGUUUGUGAGUAAAGAAAGUUCUCAGAUUUUGCACAGCUUGGACGAUCUAGCUUAUAUGUAGUUAAGGUAAUCACUGAUCUCAAUUUUAUGUCUCUGUUAAGUUUAACACUAGAAAUUAUCUUUGUAUCAACAACCAAGAAAAAGAUUAGAGUAAUCUUCUCAUAAUCCUUGGCUCUUUCAGUCAGAAUUAUAAUAGACAGUAUAUACAGUAAGAUCAAUUAUUGGAAGGAUUGGCUAUUGAUUGUAAGGACCUAUACCCAAAAAAAAAAAUUUUUUUUGUAAGGAUACCUAGAUUCCUUUUCUGUGGCGUUUAAUAUGAUUUUUUCAUGGUUUUUCUCUUGAUGGCGUAACCAUCAAAUGGUAUCGGCCCUGAAACUGCAAGUGUACUUGCAAUAUAUGGAGCUCAAGUAGUUAACUCGGUGAGGAAUAUUUUACAGUUGAUGCUUUAAUUACUGGGGUGAGUAGUAUAUUAUUCAUCCUCAUCUGGAUAUACAAUUCAGUUUAUUUUAUAAACUAAACACAUUGCAAUAUAAUAUUUCAUAGAACCAUUUUUAAUGAAAAGCUAAACAGAUUGCUUACAUUAGACAAACGAUGCAUUUUGAGGCUGAAAUGUUCACUUUUGUUCAGAAUAGGAUGUAAUUUCCUUGGAAAUCGCCUUACAAACAGAUGUGUGUGCGCAAAAGUACAUCACAGAUGUGUAUUCUGCCCAAAAUACAAUCAGAGUAGGUGCUACCCGUCAACAGGUAAGAAUUUUGAAGGUAACUCAUUAAUUUCUCCCCUACUCAUAAUAUCUUUUUUUUUUUCCUUUUGUUCUAUAUCUCUUGACCACAUGAACCUUCACUAAUGGAACUGCACCAUGUCAACAGCAUAUUUGUAUCGAACCCAACAACAUAUUUGUAUCUAAUUAACCAAACAUCCACUAAUUAUAUACAAAAUCAGAAUUGUAAUCUAUAUAUGACUUGCGGAUGUUGAUUGAAUAGUUAUACCUUUUGGAUUACAAAAACCACACUUAUAAUCUUUGCGCGUAUAAAUAAUGACAGGUUACAAGAAAGUAGUUAGAUUUUAUUGGCUGUGUUUUACUGGCUGUGUAGCUUCUGAAUUGCAUGAUGGUUCUGAAUUGUUAGCUUAGUUUUUUUUUUCUUCUUGAUCCAGGCUUCGCUCUGCCAUAAUUACUAGCACUUGAGGUAAAUCAUUUUCUGUCCCAUUUUUUUGCAAAUGAUCUGUGGUGCAAUGGUAGCGUGUCUGACUCCACGUCAGAAAGUUACCUGUUCGAUUCACGUCAGGUCAAUUGUUUGUAUUUAAUUGCCUUCUACCAAUUCUAUAAAUAAAAUGAAAUAAUAAUUGGUGUUUC